UGGUGUUUCUGACCAAUUGCAUUCGCUAGCCAUACGGUUAUAAAUGCCUGGCAAGGCAGCUCGUGUGUAAUGUGAAAAUUUCAGGUCAAGCCAAGGCGUUUUCCAGCCCUGAAAACAACACAAAGAAAAUGGGAUUGCUUUCAGCACUGGCUGUUGCUGCAGGCGUAGCGGGUGCAGCAGGAGGAGCUAUUAUUUUUGCUCCCGUUGCUGUUGCCACUAUUGGCUACGCAACUGCAGUGGGCGUCACUGCUGUGGUCAACGCUGGAGUAGCGACAGGCACAGCAGCAGCAGCAGGUUCAGCAGCCGCUGCAAGCGCUCCUGUCGCAGGCAUUGUGAUGGCUCUCUUCUGAAUCCUUAACACCUAAAACUUGUCCACUACUUCAAAGAAUACAGUAUAUGUUAUAAACUCUGUGCCAUGUGGUGCUGAAGUGCACACUUAAAUUUAUGGUAGAUUUGUGUUAAAGUAAUUGCCAAGAGAAUGUUGAAGAUUGUUUUCCUUGCCUUUCAAUUUGACUGAAUAAAUGGCUUCCUAAGUU